rnacentral:rRNA from 1 species
GAUGAACGCUGGCGGCGUGCCUAACACAUGCAAGUCGAGCGAAGCACUUUGCUUGGAUUCUUCGGAUGAAGAGGAUUGUGACUGAGCGGGCGACGGGUGAGUACGCGUGGUAACCUGCCUCAUACAGGGGGAUAACAGUUAGAAAUGACUGCUAAUACCGCAUAAGACCACAGCACCGCAUGGUGCAGGGGUAAAAACUCCGGUGGUAUGAGAUGGAUCCGCGUCUGAUUAGCUAGUUGGUAAGGUAACGGCUUACCAAGGCAACGAUCAGUAGCCGACCUGAGAGGGUGACCGGCCACAUUGGGACUGAGACACGGCCCAA